UGCGCAGGCGGAAGAAUAAGUCAGUGGUGAAAUACUGCCGCUCAACAGUAGGGCUGCCAUUGAUACUGUUUUUCUUGAGUAUGGUUGAGGUAGGCGGAAUGUGCGGUGUAGCGGUGAAAUGCAUAGAUAUCGCCCAGAACGCCGAUUGCGAAGGCAGCUUACUAAACCAUUACUGACGCUGAGGCACGAAAGCGUGGGUAGCGAACAGGAUUAGAUACCCUGGUAGUCC
rnacentral:rRNA from 1 species